rnacentral:rRNA from 1 species
GACGAACGCUGGCGGCGUGCUUAACACAUGCAAGUCGAACGGAAAGGCCCUGCUUUUGUGGGGUGCUCGAGUGGCGAACGGGUGAGUAACACGUGAGUAACCUGCCCUUGACUUUGGGAUAACUUCAGGAAACUGGGGCUAAUACCGGAUAGGAGCUCCUGCUGCAUGGUGGGGGUUGGAAAGUUUCGGCGGUUGGGGAUGGACUCGCGGCUUUUCAGCUUGUUGGUGGGGUAGUGGCUUACCAAGGCUUUGACGGGUAGCCGGCCUGAGAGGGUGACCGGCCACAUUGGGACUGAGAUACGGCCCAGACUCCUACGGGAGGCAGCAGUGGGGAAUAUUGCACAAUGGGCGGAAGCCUGAUGCAGCAACGCCGCGUGCGGGAUGACGGCCUUCGGGUUGUAAACCGCUUCCGCCUGUGACGAAGCGUGAGUGACGGUAAUGGGUAAAGAAGCACCGGCUAACUACGUG